UUCGUUAUGACAGAUCGAUUGUUUUUCAAAUUUUGUUAUUUAUUUUUAUACAAAUAAAUUUAUAUUUCUGGUAUAUUUUUUUAAGAAAUCCAAAAUAAAACGAGGUCGAAAUAAAAUUUAACUUAUAAAUAAUAAUUGUCCGAUAUUUAAAAAAAAAAUCCUUCCAUAACUAUAUCAAAUCGUUCGAUACUUUAUCCAAAUUCAAAAAAUUAUCUCAAAUAAAACAGAAAAAAAAAAAAUAAUACGCAUGAAAAAUUGUUUUCUUCUACGGAUAUAUUUAUUCCAGGAUUAUCUUUCUCUUCCCCUACAAUCGUAAUCCUAUUUCGAUGUACUUACGCUACAAACACCGAUUCAACACGAUUCAAAUCCCGUCCUAAUUUAAAUUCCCCACGACCCACUUUCCCUCCGAAUUCCCAAACUCCCAACUGUCAAAAAUCACCCGCAAAUUCUCAGAAUUUACCAUUUCCAUCCACAUUGGAAACGGUUUUUACUUUGCCAAAAACCCGUUUGCCCGCGCAGAGUAUCCGUGUAAAUCGGACCAACUGUGCCUGUGUAUAAAUCAACGACGCUGCGGUAUUCCAUUCUCUCUCAAGUCUCGAGUGUCGAUUGGGUGAUAUCUAGUUAGAGAUGGCCGCGCCCUGUGUGGCGAACACUUGAACGAAUAACCGUCUAACCGGCGAGCAAACGGACAACAGACACGGACAAGAGUUUGCAUGUGUAAGAGGCGAAAGAAUUGUCAAGCCCACAAAGAGUAAAAGAAAGAUGUAUAAAAAUACAUAUAUAUAUAUACAUAUAUGUGAAAAAUAUGCGUGUAGGUGGGUGCAGAUAUAUUUGGACGUUCAACCUAUAUAAAAUGUUUGUGGAAAUUUGUGGAUUCAAGUACAUUCGAUUUCUCUAAGAUAGAAUUGUUGUAGCAUGGAAUUAUUAAAAGAUCAUUCUAUUUCUCAGAUCGUAUCACAAGAAAUAAUCGAAAGAAUUCUCUCGCACCCACCUGACACGCAAGAAGACCAGAAAAAAAAAGAAGAGAACGAAAACCAAAACGAAAAUCGAAGAAAAGGAAAAAAAAGAAAAUAAGGAAGAGCGUGUACAGUCGUAGAGACAUUAUCACUCACUCGGCGUUGGUCUCCGGCGUGGGUAGGUCGCCGAUCGUGGUGAGGGUGAGGGUGGACCAGUAGAGCGAGCCGAGAUACUUCCUGGUCAGGGUCGCGUACUCCCCCGGCCUGUACGGGUAGACCCAGUCCCCUUGGAAUCCUUCCGCCUCGCUGAGCAAGUAGUAAAAGCAGCCGAACCAGUGCGCCAGUAUAAGCAGUAUGUGUAUCAGAUUCAACACGCGCCACAGAUUCGGGUAGACCGUCCUCGACUCGACCAUGUAGUAAUAAUUGUACACCCGAUAUAUCUUGAGAAAUCUCGGGAACCUGAGCAUCGGAUUGCUCCCCAGAUUAACCUGGAGUAGGUCGAGGGGCAACAAGGCCAACAGAUCCAAUACGAACGAUUUCGACUUGAGGUAAUGGCCUGCCAGUUUCUUGCUGUUGUAAACCAUCAAACCUUGUUCCAGGUAACCGGUACGGAAUUGCACGGCAACGUCGAGAAAGAAUACCAGGUCCGUGAAACCGUCGCAGGCGAGCCACGUGGCCGGGGCGACCGCCUGCAACUCGGGCAAACUUUGGCGCACGAUCAACGUCCACAGAUUGUACAACACGCAGGCGGAGAGAAGCAUAAGCCAAUAAUAAUAAAAGUUCUCGUCCGGGUUGACCACGGUUUUCGGUGGCCUCUGCAGCCUUCGAGGCCUUCUUCGCCGCCUCCCGCUCGAGUCCUUGUCGUCGGCUGCGUCCCCCUCCCCCUCGCCCGUGUCCAACGUCUCCUGGCUCUCGGGUAUCUGCCUGGUCGAGAACCUCUUCAGGAACGAGUCUUCCCGUUUCAAAGGCGGUUUCUUCUGGAUCGUCGAGAUGGCGGAUGACAAUUGGACGGUGGUGCGCAGCUUCAUCCAACGUUGAUUGCUCUUCGUUCUGGGAACAGAGAGAGGAGUAGAUCGCCAGAUGAGGGAUGAAACGAUGGGGGUGGGGAAAGGGGAGCGGGUGGAUUGGAUGGUUCGGAAGUUUCGCGUGUUCACGCGUGCUUACCUCGUGGCGCUCUUUCUGGAGGGGGGGGGGGGGAUAGUCUUAUCAGAAUGAAGAGAAAAUAAACUUUUCGAGACUCUUCGUGAAAAUCGGAGAUGUUUAUUCUUGAAGGAUAGGAUGGGAAUUGAAGGAUUUCAGGAUCGAAGAGGAUGAAGUUUAAGGUUUUGAUUGUCAUUUUAGGUUAUUUUUGUCCAUGUGGAUUAUUUUAGUUUUUUUUUGUAAUUUGUUUGAAUUAAAAUUUAAUUUCUGCAGAUUUUUUACGCUCAUUUUAGUAAGCUAGUACGUUAUUUAAAAGUUGAUUGGAAUAAAGUUGAUAAUCUGCAACGA